CCUACGGGAGGCAGCAGUGGGGAAUAUUGCACAAUGGAGGAAACUCUGAUGCAGCGACGCCGCGUGAAUGAAGAAGUAAUUCGUUUCGUAAAGCUCUGUCAGCGGGGAUGAAAACCAGAACUUAAGCUCAACAGAAGGUACCGGAGUAAUAAGCCCCAGCUGACUACGUGCCACCAGGCGGGGUAAUACGUAGGGGGCAAGCGUUAUCCGGAUUUACUGGGGGUAAAGGGGGCGUAGACGGUGCGGCAAGUCUGGAGUGAAAUGCCGCAGCCUAACUGCGGAACUGCCUUGGAAACUGGCGAACUAGAGUGCGGGAGGGGUAAGCGGAAUUCCUAGUGUAGCGGUGAAAUGCGUAGAUAUUAGGAGGAACAUCGGUGGCGAAGGCGACUUACUGGACCGUAACUGACGUUGAGGCUCGAAAGCGUGGGGAGCAAACAGGAUUAGAUACCCUUGUAGUC
rnacentral:rRNA from 1 species